GGGUCAGUAGGUUGGUCGUGCCACCGGUACGUACUGGUCUCACUGAUUCCUCCUUCCUGAAGAACCGUAAUGCCAUUAAUUUGGUGUUGCGGGGAAACAGGACUGUUACUUUGGAAAGAUUAGAGUGUUUAAAGCAAGCUAACGCUUGAAUACAUUAGCAUGGAAUAAUGAAAUAGGACGAUCGAUCCUAUUUUGUUGGUUUCUAGGAUUGACGUA
rnacentral:rRNA from 1 species